rnacentral:SRP_RNA from 1 species
GCUAGACCUAUGUAGUCCCAGCUACUCGGGAGGCUGAGGCAGGAGGAUCGCUUGAGCCCAGGAGUUCUGGGCUGUAGUGCGCUAUGCCCAUCGGGUGUCCGCACUAAGUGCGGCACCAAUAUGGUGACCUCCCAGGAGGGGGGGACCACCAGGUUGCCUAAGGAGGGGUGAACCGGCCCAGGUCGGAAACGGAGCAGGUCAAAACUCCCGUGCUGAUCAGUAGAGUGCUUUUUUUAAUGUUUAUUUUUGAGGCGGUGGGGGGGAGGGCAGAAAAAGAGAGAGACACAGAAUCCA